AUAAUGCAAGUCGAGCGAACUGAUUAGAAGCUUGCUUCUAUGACGUUAGCGGCGGACGGGUGAGUAACACGUGGGCAACCUGCCUGUAAGACUGGGAUAACUUCGGGAAACCGAAGCUAAUACCGGAUAGGAUCUUCUCCUUCAUGGGAGAUGAUUGAAAGAUGGUUUCGGCUAUCACUUACAGAUGGGCCCGCGGUGCAUUAGCUAGUUGGUGAGGUAACGGCUCACCAAGGCAACGAUGCAUAGCCGACCUGAGAGGGUGAUCGGCCACACUGGGACUGAGACACGGCCCAGACUCCUACGGGAGGCAGCAGUAGGGAAUCUUCCGCAAUGGACGAAAGUCUGACGGAGCAACGCCGCGUGAGUGAUGAAGGCUUUCGGGUCGUAAAACUCUGUUGUUAGGGAAGAACAAGUACGAGAGUAACUGCUCGUACCUUGACGGUACCUAACCAGAAAGCCACGGCUAACUACGUGCCAGCAGCCGCGGUAAUACGUAUGUGGCAAGCGUUAUCCGGAAUUAUUGGGCGUAAAGCGCGCGCAGGCGGUUUCUUAAGUCUGAUGUGAAAGCCCACGGCUCAACCGUGGAGGGUCAUUGGAAACUGGGGAACUUGAGUGCAGAAGAGAAAAGCGGAAUUCCACGUGUAGCGGUGAAAUGCGUAGAGAUGUGGAGGAACACCAGUGGCGAAGGCGGCUUUUUGGUCUGUAACUGACGCUGAGGCGCGAAA
rnacentral:rRNA from 1 species